GAGAUAAAUAUUUAUGAACUGCUAAUUCAUAACUCCCAUGGAUAAAACCAUGGUUAUCUCU
rnacentral:tRNA from 1 species